GUAUAGAGGACUACCAUGGUGAUAACGGGUAACGGAGAAUUAGGGUUCGAUUCCGGAGAGGGAGCCUGAGAAAUGGCUACCACUUCUAAGGAGGGCAGCAGGCGCGCAAAUUACCCAAUCCUAAUACUGGGAGGUAGUGACAAUAAAUAACAAUGCUGGAGUUUAUGCUCUGGUAAUUGGAAUGAGAACAAUUUAAACCCCUUAACGAGUAACCAUCAGAGGGCAAGUCUGGUGCCAGCAGCCGCGGUAAUUCCAGCUCUGAUAGCGUAUAUUAAAGUUGUUGCAGUUAAAAAGCUCGUAGUUGGAUUUUAGAGUGCAUUAAUAUGGUCUCUUGUGAUAAACUUGUUGUACUGUAUAAAUUACUCUUUCCUACUGGUUACUCGACUCUGUUCUUUAUUGCAUGGAGUAGUGUCGCAAGGCAUCGCUUAGUAUUUUAUUGCUCUUAGAUGUAGUAAUUGGGUAAAACUGGUUAUGUAAACCUAAGGGAUCACAGUAAGGUAUUAAGUGGGGUUCCAGUUCA
rnacentral:rRNA from 1 species